AUUAUUCUUAUUAUUAACAGUUUUAUUCCUACGCAGAACUACUUUGGCGGAAGCAUAACUCCCCAAACCAGGGGAAUGUGAUGCGUCUUAGUAUAGAGGUGACAAUAACGUAGUGACUUCACCAUCUAUGUAUAGAAUGACACCUUGGGUACUACGAUAAGUCAACGGGGGAAUCUUACAACAACAACAACAACAGUGGCGGAAGUGAAUACAUACAACAAGUAAUCAAGAAAUAUUGUUUGUCACAACGAAACAUUGGGGCUUAGAAGGAUACAGGCUGGUUGACCAUUACUAGAGUGUCAGAAGACAGAUCCAGAACAAUGGAAGAAUUGAAAUUUUGUCAAGCCGCAAACGCAAACAAUAUUGAGUAUGUUAGAGAAGUCUUAGCAGGUGAACACGGAAGUGUGACCAGUGAAGAUGUCAAUCUAGCUUUAAUCAAAGCAGCUUUAAAUGGUCAUGAAGAAUGCGUGAGGUUGUUGUUGGAUCACAGUGCCAACAUAAAUGCCACAAAUGGUGCAGAAGACACUGCUCUGAGUACUGUUGAAGAAAGCGUGCACUUAAGCAUUCCGAAGUUCAUUUACAUGCUGCAUGGUUAUUCCUCUCUGAUGUUCACUGUGUUGCAACGACCUGAAAAUUAUAGGAAGAUUCUGCGGCUGUUACUGGAUGCCGGUAUGAACGUGAAUGAAAUUGAUCAUCAAGAUAUGACUCUUCUUCAUCAUGCAGGGAAUAAGUGUACCGAAGAUGUGAUUGAAAUGCUCAUAGAAGCCGGGGCGAAAGUGAACACGAAAGAUGUUUAUGGGGUUACACUCUUAUGUCAGCAGCUGCUAAUUGCAAAAUCAACAAUGUGAAAGUGAUGUUAAAGUAUGGAGCAGAUGUAAGUUUGUUUUGUAAGGCCAAAAGAACUGCCCUUUCUAAGGCUGCAAUAACUGGCUCAGGGGACCUAAUUCAGACAUUACUGGAAGCUGGGGCCGAUGCAAACUUCAAGGAUGCUCAUGAUCAUACCCCAGUCUUCACAAUAACUACGCAGGUGUCAAGUGCUUGAUCCAGGCAGGUUGUGACCUUGAAACGCCGUGUCGUGAUCUGUCAUCGCUUCAACCAAUGUCGUGUUGUCAAUAUGUUGUGCACAGGAAAAAUGUAAAACUGUUGCAGAUGUUGUACCUUGCAGGUGCAUUCACUUACAAGACUCUUUACGAGGCAGCUUUGGACCAGCAAUUGAAGCACGACUCUUCAGAUAACCCUGAUUUCUUUCAUGAACUGAACACCCUUGCAUUGAACCCAAGGUCCCUACGCCAUACGUGUAGGAUUUUUAUCAACAAAAAUCUGCAUUUCUGUGUGGAAAAUGGCAGGACUUGUAUAGUGCUUACUUUGGAUAAUAUCAACAGUCUUCCAGAAGUUUGCAUUUAAGUUGUUCUUGGUGAGUUAUCAUUUAAAAAUACUCAGAUUUUAAAUUUGAUGGACAAGGAAUAUUUAUAAAAAUGAAUGUUUUCUUUUAAAAUGUUGGUGUUUAAAGCAAUUAUAUGUGAUUUUAAUGUCAAAAUUAUGUUCUCACAAUCUUAAACCAACAUAUGAAGGUAUGUUAAAUUAAAUAUAGUAACAAUCUUGAUAUUUUAAUUAAAUACUAUUUAAGUUGUGUUUAUUUCCUUGAAAUUUAUAACGCUGAUACAAACAUGUUAAUAUGUAUUUGUUUCAAAACCAAAUUGUGGAAUAUGAAUAAAUAUGUACAGACAAACG